GGCAGAUCCAUUUUCUGCCACCGAAUACAUUAGCAUGGGAUAAUGGAAUAGGACCCUGUCCUCCUAUUUUCAGUUGGUUUUGGCAGCGCGAGGACUAGGGUAAUGAUUAAUAGGGAUAGUUGGGGGCAUUAAUAUUUAAUUGUCAGAGGUGAAAUUCUUGGAUUUAUGAAAGAUUAACUUCUGCGAAAGCAUCUGCCAAGGAUGUUUUCAUUAAUCAAGAACGAAAGUUAGGGGAUCGAAGACGAUCAGAUACCGUCGUAGUCUUAACCAUAAACGAUGCCGACCAGCGAUUAGGAGACGUUGAAUACAAAACACCACCAUCGGCGCGGUCGUCCUUGGCGUCUCGGUUUCGGCCGGGGCGCGGGGAUGGCUUAACCCGGUGGCACCGGUGAAUGACUCCCCUAGCAGCUUGUGAGAA
rnacentral:rRNA from 1 species